GGGGGAAUAUUGCACAAUGGGCGCAAGCCUGAUGCAGCAACGCCGCGUGAAGGAAGACGGUUUUCGGAUUGUAAACUUCUGUUCUUAGUGAAGAAGAAUGACGGUAGCUAAGGAGCAAGCCACGGCUAACUACGUGCCAGCAGCCGCGGUAAUACGUAGGUGGCAAGCGUUGUCCGGAAUUACUGGGUGUAAAGGGAGCGCAGGCGGGGGAACAAGUCAGUUGUGAAAUCCAUGGGCUUAACCCGUGAACUGCAGUUGAAACUGUUCUUCUUGAGUGAAGUAGAGGUUGGCGGAAUUCCGAGUGUAGCGGUGAAAUGCGUAGAUAUUCGGAGGAACACCGGUGGCGAAGGCGGCCAACUGGGCUUUUACUGACGCUGAGGCUCGAAAGUGUGGGGAGCAAACAGGAUUAGAUACCC
rnacentral:rRNA from 1 species